GCUUACACAUGCAGUCGAACGAUGAAGCCCAGCUUGCUGGGUGGAUUAGUGGCGAACGGGUGAGUAACACGUGAGUAACCUGCCCCCGACUCUGGGAUAAGCCCGGGAAACUGGGUCUAAUACCGGAUAUGACCAUGGAACGCAUGUUUUGUGGUGGAAAGAUUUAUCGGUGGGGGAUGGACUCGCGGCCUAUCAGCUUGUUGGUGAGGUAAUGGCUCACCAAGGCGACGACGGGUAGCCGGCCUGAGAGGGUGACCGGCCACACUGGGACUGAGACACGGCCCAGACUCCUACGGGAGGCAGCAGUGGGGAAUAUUGCACAAUGGGCGAAAGCCUGAUGCAGCGACGCCGCGUGAGGGAUGACGGCCUUCGGGUUGUAAACCUCUUUCAGUAGGGAAGAAGCGAAAGUGACGGUACCUGCAGAAGAAGCGCCGGCUAACUACGUGCCAGCAGCCGCGGUAAUACGUAGGGCGCAAGCGUUAUCCGGAUUUAUUGGGCGUAAAGAGCUCGUAGGCGGUUUGUCGCGUCUGCCGUGAAAGUCCGAGGCUCAACCUCGGAUCUGCGGUGGGUACGGGCAGACUAGAGUGAUGUAGGGGAGACUGGAAUUCCUGGUGUAGCGGUGAAAUGCGCAGAUAUCAGGAGGAACACCGAUGGCGAAGGCAGGUCUCUGGGCAUUUACUGACGCUGAGGAGCGAAAGCAUGGGGAGCGAACAGGAUUAGAUACCCUGGUAGUCCAUGCCGUAAACGUUGGGCACUAGGUGUGGGGGACAUUCCACGUUUUCCGCGCCGUAGCUAACGCAUUAAGUGCCCCGCCUGGGGAGUACGGCCGCAAGGCUAAAACUCAAAGGAAUUGACGGGGGCCCGCACAAGCGGCGGAGCAUGCGGAUUAAUUCGAUGCAACGCGAAGAACCUUACCAAGGCUUGACAUGUGCCAGACCGCUCCAGAGAUGGGGUUUCCCUUCGGGGCUGGUUCACAGGUGGUGCAUGGUUGUCGUCAGCUCGUGUCGUGAGAUGUUGGGUUAAGUCCCGCAACGA
rnacentral:rRNA from 1 species